rnacentral:rRNA from 1 species
AAGGUAGCAUAAUCAUUUGCCCCUUAAUUAGGGGCUGGAAUGAAAGGACAAACGAAAGCUUCCCUGUCUCAUCGUAAUAACCAAAAAUUAAUCUUCAAGUGAAAAAGCUUGAAUAAAAUUGUAGGACAAGAAGACCCCGUUGAGCUUAAUUUUUAAUAGAAAAUACUAUUUAUUAUUAUAAUUUUUAACCUAAUCUAAAAUUUAGUUGGGGUGACUAAGGAACAUCAAAAACUUCCUCUCCAGACCUAGGAUCAUUUUCCUCUUUAAUUGAUCCUUAACCAAGACCAAAAAAAUAAGCUACCACAGGGAUAACAGGCUAAUCUUUCUUAAGAGUCCAAAUUGUCAGAAAGGAUUGGCACCUCGAU